rnacentral:rRNA from 2 species
UUCGGUGACUAUAACGGAGGGGAUACACCCGUUCCCAUUUCGAAUACGGAAGUUAAGUCCUCCUGUGCCGAUGGUACUGCACUGGUGACGGUGUGGGAGAGUAGGUCGUUGCCGGUU